GCAGGUUGAAGCGCGGGUAAGACCGCGUGGAGGACCGAACCCACCUGGGUUGAAAACCGGGGGGAUGACCUGGGGCUAGGGGUGAAAGGCCAAUCAAAUUCCGUGAUAGCUGGUUCUCUCCGAAAUGCAUUUAGGUGCAGCGUCGGUUGAUUGCAUCGCGGGGGUAGAGCUACUGGAUGCUUGCGGGCCCGUGUCGGGUACCAAUAGCAGCCAAACUCCGAAUACCGUGGAUGUGUAUUCCGGCAGUGAGUCGGCGGGGGAUAAGCUCCGUCGUCGAGAGGGAGACAGCCCAGAUCGUCGUCUAAGGUCCCGAAGCGUGUGCUAAGUGGGAAAGGAUGUGGAGUCGCAUAGACAGCCAGGAGGUUGGCUCAGAAGCAGCCAUCCUUGAAAGAGUGCGUAACAGCUCACUGGUCUAGUGGUUCCGCGCCGACAAUGUAGCGGGGCUCAAGCACACCACCGAAGACGCGGCAACAGUUUUUGCUGUUGGGUAGGAGAGCGUCCCGCGUGGGGCGAAGCGGCCGGGGAACCGUGCCGUGGACCGCGCGGGAGUGAGAAUGCAGACAUGAGUAGCGAGAGACGGGUGAGGAUCCCGUCCGCUGGAUGACCAAGGGUUCCGGGGCCACGUUCGUCGUCCCCGGGUGAGUCGGGUCCUAAGGCGAGGCCGACAGGCGUAGUCGAAUGGAUGAACGGGUGGAUAUUCCCGUACCGGCGGCGUACCGUAAGAGCCGAACGGAUGAGUACUAACCUCCGGUCGCGUGGCGUCGUUCCCUUCGGGGUUCGGGGUCCGCGGUCGUUGGGAGCGUAGUCCUGGUAGGCUAGCGCACAGGGGUGACACGGAAUGGGAGCCGGCCGCGGAGGUGGUUUUCCGUGGUCAAGCACGCAGCCCGUCCCAUAGGCAAAUCCGUGGGACGCAUAGGGUGAGGUGUGAUGAUGGGCGUCCUUUGGACGCGAUAUCCGGUGGUCCAGGCCGUCGAGAAAAGCCUCGGCGCGAGGGGCGUCGCCGCCCGUACCCCAAACCGACACUGGUGGUCAGGUAGAGAAUACCAAGGCGAUCGAGCGAAUCCUGGUCAAGGAACUCGGCAAAUCACUCCCGUGCCUUCGGUAUAAGGGAGACCCCCGGGCGUGAAGAGGCUUGCCCUCGGAGCGUUGGGGGGUGGCACAGACCAGGGGGUAGCGACUGUUUACCAAAAACACAGGUGCAUGCGAAGGCGCAAGCCGCUGUAUAUGCACUGACGCCUGCCCGGUGCCGGAAGGUUAAGAGGAUCCGUCAGCCCCUUUUGGGGUGAAGCGGUGAAUUCAAGCCCCGGUAAACGGCGGUGGUAACUAUAACCAUCCUAAGGUAGCGAAAUUCCUUGUCGGGUAAGUUCCGACCUGCACGAAUGGCGUAACGACUUCCCCACUGUCUCGACCAGGAGCUCGGCGAAAUUGCAGUACGAGUAAAGAUGCUCGUUAAGCGCAGAAGGACGAAAAGACCCCGGGACCUUUACUAUACCUUGGUAUUGGCGUUAGGCGCGGAUUGUGUAGCAUAGGCGGGAGGCUUCGAAGCAUGGGCGCCAGCCCGUGUGGAGCCGCAAGGUGAAAUACCGCUCUGUUCUCGUUUGACGUCUAACCUCGAACAGUCAUCCUGUUCAGGGACAGUGCCUGGCGGGUAGUUUAACUGGGGCGGUUGCCUCCCAAAGAGUAACGGAGGCGCUCAAAGGUCCGCUCAGCCCGGUUGGCAAUCGGGUUUCGAGUGUAAUCGCACAAGCGGGCUUGACUGCGAGAACGACGGUUCGGGCAGGGACGAAAGUCGGAGAUAGUGAUCCGGUGCCGGCGCACGGGCGCGGCAUCGCUCAACGGAUAAAAGGUACCCCGGGGAUAACAGGCUGAUCAUUCCCAAGAGUCCAUAUCGACGGGAUGGUUUGGCACCUCGAUGUCGGCUCGUCGCAUCCUGGGGCUGGAGCAGGUCCCAAGGGUUCGGCUGUUCGCCGAUUAAAGCGGCACGCGAGCUGGGUUCAGAACGUCGUGAGACAGUUUGGUCUCUAUCCUCUGCGCUCGUUGGAAUGCUGAGGAGGCCUGCCCAUAGUACGAGAGGACCUGGGUGGACG
rnacentral:rRNA from 1 species